rnacentral:rRNA from 1 species
AACGAACGCUGGCGGCGUGCUUAACACAUGCAAGUCGAACGCGAACGGGUUCUUCGGGACCUUAGUAGAGUGGCGCACGGGUGAGUAACGCGUAAGUUAUCUACCUCGGCAUCUGGAAUAACUCACCGAAAGGUGUGCUAAUACCGGAUACGUUGAGUAAUCAAGAAAGGUGGCCUCUCUUUGAUGCUACCGUGCUGAGAUGAGCUUGCGUACCAUUAGCUAGUUGGUGGGGUAAUGGCCUACCAAGGCGACGAUGGUUAGCGGGUCUGAGAGGAUGAUCCGCCACACUGGAACUGGAACACGGACCAGACUCCUACGGGAGGCAGCAGUGAGGAAUAUUGCGCAAUGGGGGCAACCCUGACGCAGCGACGCCGCGUGGAUGAUGAAGGCCUUCGGGUCGUAAAAUCCUGUCAGGUGGAAAGAAAUGUAUAUGUGCUAAUACCAUGUAUACUUGACGGUACCACCGAAGGAAGCACCGGCUAACUACGUGCCAGCCGCCGCUGUAAUAC